GGUGAAUACGUUCCCGGGUCUUGUACACACCGCCCGUCACACCACGAGAGUUUGUAACACCCGAAGCCGGUGGAGUAACCUUUUAGGAGCUAGCCGUCGAAGGUGGGACAAAUGAUUGGGGUGAAGUCGUAACAAGGUAGCCGUAUCGGAAGGUGCGGCUGGAUCACCUCCUUUCUAAGGA
rnacentral:rRNA from 1 species